AAAAUUCUGAGUAUGCUCAGAGGAUGGACAGGCAAGGCUGCUGCAGCUGCUGCAGAAGGGCAGCCAGGCAGCUGGAAGCUGCAGACAGAAUGAGGUCACCCUGCCCCCUCACAGCAUCAUCCUCACGGAGCUGGGGCUGUACCCAAGGGGCAGGGAGCUCGCCAGGAAGCAGAAUGGGAGAACAGGACACCUAAAUUCAGAAGACGAGCUGCAAAUGUUAUGAUGUGAACUGGACCAUCAGGAGCAAAGCCACCACAGCACUCUCAACCCAUGAGUCAGCAAACCCCUGCCUCUCUUCUCUCUGCUGACUCAGACAAAUCUUAGAAGGGGACGAGCCCAGAACUGCAUGACGUGAUCUUUCCUUGCAUCUCCCUGGCAAUUACCCACUUACCACCGCACUGUCAGCAAUUGUGGCCAUUGGGCCAGACAAGAAACAAUAAAAAAGAUGUCUGGGGAAAAAGCUGAGUGCACAAAGUGUCCCAGAAGACCCCGAGCGUUUAGAGUACCUGUGCCAAGAGGCUGCUAUGCAUGAAAAAUAAUUGUGCGAUGGGUCAGAGCUUGUUUACUUCCUCUUGUAGACAACACAGGAGAAAAUGGGACCCUGAAGAGAAACCGGCCCUGAAUGCAAGGCUAAAUGAUUAGCAGGACUAGAUCAUCAACUAUUAACCCUGUCCUGAGGCUCUUGGCUGGUGUUAUACAUCAUGCCCAUCUAAAGAAUCUGGUCUGAGCCCCAUCCCACCUCCGGCCAUGCCAGUGAGGAGACCCUCACUUUCCCACUGCUGAGUUUCAGACCCUUCCAGCAGCCCGGACAUCCUCCCCUCCACAGCUUUGCAUAUGGUGGGGCUGGGCUGGCUUGUGGUCUGCAUGGCUGAGCUGACUCCUCUGGCUGAAUUUGCCUGAAGCAAGAGAGGAAGCACAGACAAAUUGAUCUCUCAGAAGAGAUGCCUCUGGAAUCCCC
rnacentral:lncRNA from 1 species